AAAGCUGGAGAGCUGCUUCUGAAAAUGCUGCUGUUCUACCUGUUGAACAACUCAGUGCAGCAGAAAUGGAGCACUGGAUUAAGUUACUGCUGAGAAAGGCAAAUGUAGUUCAUUUUUACAUGGUUCGGUGUUGCAGAAGGUCAUUGAAUUCUGAACCUUUUUCAUAAUGCUACCUGAUUUUGACAAGAAACUGCCUGUUAGUUUUUGUCCUGCCCCCUCCCGGUUAAGUUGGCAACUGAUCAUGACAUUUACUUCUCGUUAGUUGGUCGGUAAAAUAUAUAAAGUGAUAGUGUAUUGCAGACACUUCAUAAGCAACUUGCCAUUGGAGGUGUUCUAUCAGAAGCUGAAUUUUGGGCUGCAAGGAAGGUUAGUGUCUAAAAAAGGCUGUUAGUUUUAUUACUUUUUUGUUAAAAUGCUGUUAUUGACUUAAUGAAAGUAUUGAGCUAUAUCUGGAACACCUGGCAGCUGUUUCCUCAAUACAUUGUGAAAAGCAUUACAGUAUUUUACCGUGCAAAUGAACUGCAGAACAGUGCUGGAUCAGAGUGAUAGGAAGAAGCCUAAACAGCACGGUGGCUUUAAAAAAUGACAUGUUGAGUGUAAAACCUCUAUUUAAUGCUCAGGUCAGAGGAAACUCUUCUCUCCCUGUGCUAGGGGUUACAAUGCCUGUCACCAGAUGCAGCAAUGAUACCUGCC
rnacentral:lncRNA from 1 species